AGAGGGAAUACAAGUAUUAGGAGAGCUCUUAACGGGUAUAUCUUUCAAUGUCAUACAACAUCAGCUAAACCUGAUUUUUCACACCACAGUUUUAGCUAAAUUAAGUCCAACCAACAAUUAAGGAUGAUUUGGAGCCAUUUAUGAGCCAGGAUAAAUUUGAGUACCAUUGGGGAAAGCACCACAGAGCUUAUGUAGAUAACUUGAACAAGCAAAUUGAUGAAACAGAUCUAGAUGGGAAGUCACUAGAGGAAACUAUAGUUAUAGCGUACAAUAACGGCGACAUUCUUCCAGCUUUCAUGUUUCUAAUUCAUGUUUCUGAACCACAGGUUUUGUAAUCUUGACCAAUCUAUUUCAGGUAUGGAACCAUGAUUUCUUUUGGGAGUCCAUGAAACCUGGUGGUGGCGGAAAUCCAUCGGGGGAACUUCUAAAACUGAUUGAAAGAGAUUUUGGUUCUUUUGAAAAAUUGUCGAGCAGUUCAAGCUUGCUGCUGCAACACAAUUUGGUUCAGGCUGGGCAUGGCUUGCAUGUCAUUUUUUCGUGGAGUUUGAACCUUUGCAUUUCGUGGAGUUUGAACCUUUGCAUUGAACAGGUCAUUUUUUCGUUAAAUGUACACUUGAUUUGGAAUAUAGGUGUCCUAUGCGAGUGUAAUGAAGAAAUGUUGGUAUUUGUGUUUUGCAGAAGGAAUGCAAGUAU